UACGUAGGUGCGAGCGUUAAUCGGAAUUACUGGCGUAAAGCGUGCGUAGGCGGUUCGUUAUGUCUGCUGUGAAAGCCCGGGCUUAACCUGGGAAUGGCAGUGGAAACUGGCGGCUUGAGUGUGGCAGAGGGUGGGAAUUCCGCGUGUAGCAGUGAAAUGCGUAGAGAUGCGGAGGAACACCGAUGGCGAAGGCAGCCCCUGGGCUGACACUGACGCUGGAGGCACGAAAGCGUGGGGAGCAAACAGG
rnacentral:rRNA from 1 species